UAAUUAAAUCACUGUUAUAUAUUUUAUUUUUUCUGUUCACCAAUGUAACGUUAUAUUAGUGAAGAGUUUAUUUCUUUUAAAUUGUAAAUAAGCCACGCAUGCAACGGCACGUGCUAGUCAAAGUUGUGACGGAAAUAAGAAGAUAGAUAGAUUUAUAACGUGAUUAAAUUAAUUGAUUGACUGGUGGUUGAUUAUUUUUAAAGUCCAGUGACAAAUAUUUGAUGAAAGUUAUUGAAAACACAAGUUCAAAAGUCAGGUAGAUAAUAUAGAACAAGGGAGGUCCGGUAUGGUUACAAUCCAUCAGAGUUCAAAUGAAGUGGAUUUAAGCAAUUCGUAAAGUCACCCGUUCGGCCUUCAAGAAUGACAAAAACCCAUACCGUAUAGUUGGCUAUGAAAGGCCCCGACAUAAAAAAUGUGAAACAAUCCAAACGAAAACUAUAACGGCCUUAUUAUAUAUAUCAAAA
rnacentral:lncRNA from 1 species